rnacentral:rRNA from 1 species
GCCAGACUCCUACGGGAGGCAGCAGUGAGGAAUAUUGGUCAAUGGGCGGGAGCCUGAACCAGCCAAGUCGCGUGAGGGAAGACGGUCCUAUGGAUUGUAAACCUCUUUAGGCGGGGAGCAAUGCCGGGCACGCGUGCCCGGAGGGAGAGUACCCGCAGAAUAAGCAUCGGCUAACUCCGCGCCAGCAGCCGCGGUAAUACGGAGGAUGCGAGCGUUAUCCGGAUUUAUUGGGUUUAAAGGGUGCGUAGGCGGGACGGUAAGUCAGCGGUAAAAAUGCGGAGCUCAACUCCGUCGAGCCGUUGAAACUGCCGUUCUUGAGUGAGCGAGAAGUAUGCGGAAUGCGUGGUGUAGCGGUGAAAUGCAUAGAUAUCACGCAGAACUCCGAUUGCGAAGGCAGCAUACCGGCGCUCAACUGACGCUCAUGCACGAAAGUGUGGGUAUCGAACAGGAUUAGAUACCCGAGUA